rnacentral:ncRNA from 1 species
AUAAAAGCGUUGAAAAAGAGGAGUAGGAUUUGAAAGUAUUAAGAGAGGAAGGCUCUACGGCUGAAAGGUCUUCUAUAUGGAACAAUCUGAAGGUAGCUUUGGAGCUUCUUUAUCGAAAAUGUUUUUAGUAGAUAAAGCCGGUUGUCAAAUCGUUAGUUUAUAUGAGCCUGUAAUUUUGCAGGGAAAAAAGGUGGUACCACGAGCUUUUCGUCCUUUUG